GUAAGAAUAUUCCGCAAUGGGCGAAAGCCUGACGGAGCGACGCCGCGUGUAUGAUGAAGGCCGAAAGGUUGUAAAGUACUUUUUUGCGCGAGGAAUAAGGGCGGGAGGCAAUGCCCGCCCGGUGACUGUAGCGCAGGAAUAAGCACCGGCUAAUUACGUGCCAGCAGCCGCGGUAACACGUAAGGUGCAAGCGUUGUUCGGAAUUAUUGGGCGUAAAGGGCAUGUAGGCUGUCAUGUAAGCUUGGUGUGAAAUCCCGUGGCUCAACCACGGAACUGCAUUGAGAACUGCGUGACUAGAGUUGAUGAGGGGGAACCAGAAUUCCAGGUGUAGGGGUGAAAUCUGUAGAUAUCUGGAAGAAUACCAAUGGCGAAGGCAGGUUUCUAGCAUACAACUGACGCU
rnacentral:rRNA from 1 species